AUAAGGGGAGCCGGCAGGCUGAGAAAGGAUGAUUCCUGACCCUAUGAACCUGAUUUGGGUAAUGCCAACGGAGGGAGUUUAU
rnacentral:ncRNA from 1 species